AAAUAUGAUGAAGAAUAUACAAAAUUAGACCGUUUAUGGUUGGAUAUGAUUUGAGUUAGAUUACACUCAUGAGUUAAGGCUCAAAUAUGAUUAACUUUUUAUUUUAUUUUCUAUAAAUCUUAUCGGUUGAUUCGGUUAGUUUUGGUAGAAACACACUGAAGUGCUUCAGAGUAGACUUUUUCCCAAAGGACCACCACAUUGUCUGUCCCGAAUUUGUAAUGCUUUCCGAUUAAUACUAAGGGUAGUCAAGCCGUCUGCAUUUCUAACUAUCAAGUAAACCAAUUGGGUUAAGCCCCAACUAAAUGACUUCCCAAACAAAUAUAAUUUUUGUUUCCAAAAAACAUCGAACUCGAGUCCGGAAGUUUCACCCUUCCCCAAAACUUCCCUUACCACUAAACCACAGAUAAUUGGGCAAAUAUGAUUAACUAAA
rnacentral:sRNA from 1 species